GACGAACGCUGGCGGCGUGCUUAACACAUGCAAGUCGAACGGAAAGGCCCUGCUUUUGUGUGGUGCUCGAGUGGCGAACGGGUGAGUAACACGGGAGUAACCUGGUCGGUACUUUGGGAUAACUUCAGGAAACUGGGGCUAAUACCGGAUAGGAGCUCCUGCUGCAUGGUGGGGGUCGGAACGUUUCGGCGGUUGGGGAUGGACUCGCGGCUUAUCAGCUUGUUGGUGGGGUAGUGGCUUACCAAGGCUGUGACGGGUAGACGGCAUGAGGGGUGGAACGGCGACAUUGGGACUGAGGUACGGCCCAGACGCCUACGGGAGGCAGCAGUGGAGAAUAUGGCACAAUGGGCGGGAGCCUGAGGAAGCGACGCUGGGUGCGGGAUGACGGCCUUCGGGUUGUAAACCGCUUUCGCCUGUGACGAAGCGUGAGUGACGGUAAUGGGUAAAGAAGCACCGGCUAACUACGUG
rnacentral:rRNA from 1 species